rnacentral:rRNA from 1 species
AUACGUAGGUGGCAAGCGUUAUCCGGAUUUACUGGGUGUAAAGGGCGUGCAGCCGGGACGGCAAGUCAGAUGUGAAAUCCAUGGGCUUGACCAAUGAACUGCAUUUGAAACUGUCGUUCUUGAGUACCGGAGGGGCAAUCGGAAUUCCUAGUGUAGCGGUGAAAUGCGUAGAUAUUAGGAGGAACACCAGUGGCGAAGGCGGAUUGCUGGACGGCAACUGACGGUGAGGCGCGAAAGUGUGGGGAGCAAACAGGAUUAGAUACCCUGGUAGUCCACACUGUAAACGAUGGAUACUAGGUGUGCGGGGACUGACCCCCUGCGUGCCGGCGUUAACACAAUAAGUAUCCCACCUGGGGAGUACGAUCGCAAGGCUAAAACUCAAAUGAAUUGACGGGG